UACCAGCCGCCGCGGUAAUACGUAGGGUGCAACCGUUGUUCGGAAUUAUUGGGCGUAAAGAGCGUGUAGGUGGUUAAGUAAGUUGGGUGUGAAAUCCCCCGGCCCAACCGGGGAAGUGCAUCCAAAACUACUUAACUUGAGGAUGGCAGAGGGAGGUGGAAUUCCUAGUGUAGAGGUGAAAUUCGUAGAUAUUAGGAGGAAUACCGGUGGCGAAGGCGGCCUCCUGGACCAUUCCUGACACUGAGACGCGAAAGCGUGGGGAGCAAACAGGAUUAGAUA
rnacentral:rRNA from 1 species